rnacentral:rRNA from 1 species
AGCAGCCGCGGUAAUUCCAGCUCCAAUAGCGUAUAUUAAAGUUGCUGCAGUUAAAAAGCUCGUAGUUGAAUUUCGGGACCAUCAUGUCGGUCGUGCCUCGGUACGUACUGGCAUUGUUGGUUUCUCCCUUCUGACGAACCACGAUGUCAUUUAUUUGGUGUUGUGGGGAAUCAGGACUGUUACUUUGAAAAAAUUAGAGUGUUUAAAGCAGGCUCACGCUUGAAUACAUUAGCAUGGAAUAAUGAAAUAGGACGUUUGAUUCUAUUUUGUUGGUUUCUAGGAUCGACGUAAUGAUUAAUAGGGAUAGUUGGGGGCAUUAGUAUUCAAUUGUCAGAGGUGAAAUUCUUGGAUUUAUUGAAGACUAACUACUGCGAAAGCAUUUGCCAAGGAUGUUUUCAUUAAUCAAGAACGAAAGUUAGGGGAUCGAAGACGAUCAGAUACCGUCGUAGUCUUAACCAUAAACUAUGCCGACUAGGGAUCGGAUGAUGUUAAUUUUUUAAUGACUCA